GAUGAAGAACGCAGCGAAAUGCGAUAAGUAAUGUGAAUUGCAGAAUUUAGUGAAUCAUCGAAUCUUUGAACGCACAUUGCGCCCCUUGGUAUUCCAUGGGGCAUGCCUGUUCGAGCGUCAUUUGUACCUUCAAGCCUUGCUUGGUGUUGGGUGUUUGUCUCGCCUCUGCGCGCAGACUCGCCUCAAAACAAUUGGCAGCCGGCGUAUUGAUUUCGGAGCGCAGUACAUCUCGCGCUUUGCACUCAGAACGACGACGUCCAAAAGUACAUUUUUACACUCUUGACCUCGGAUCAGGUAGGGAUACCCGCUGAACUUAAGCAUAUCAAUAAGCGGAGGA
rnacentral:misc_RNA from 1 species